AUGCACGCUGGCGGCGUGCCUAAUACAUGCAAGUCGAGCGAACGGACGAGAAGCUUGCUUCUCUGAUGUUAGCGGCGGACGGGUGAGUAACACGUGGAUAACCUACCUAUAAGACUGGGAUAACUUCGGGAAACCGGAGCUAAUACCGGAUAAUAUUUUGAACCGCAUGGUUCAAAAGUGAAAGACGGUCUUGCUGUCACUUAUAGAUGGAUCCGCGCUGCAUUAGCUAGUUGGUAAGGUAACGGCUUACCAAGGCAACGAUGCAUAGCCGACCUGAGAGGGUGAUCGGCCACACUGGAACUGAGACACGGUCCAGACUCCUACGGGAGGCAGCAGUAGGGAAUCUUCCGCAAUGGGCGAAAGCCUGACGGAGCAACGCCGCGUGAGUGAUGAAGGUCUUCGGAUCGUAAAACUCUGUUAUUAGGGAAGAACAUAUGUGUAAGUAACUGUUCACAUCUUGACGGUACCUAAUCAGAAAGCCACGGCUAACUACGUG
rnacentral:rRNA from 1 species